GAGGGGCAGCAGGUCUGUAGCAAUACAGAUGCUGGCGACCGGCAAACGGGUGCGGAACACGUACAGAACCUUCCUUCGAGCGGGGAAUAGCCCAGAGAAAUUUGGAUUAAUACCCCAUAGUAUAUUAGAGUGGCAUCACUUUGAUAUUAAAGAUUUAUCACUUGAAGAUGGCUGUGCGGCUGAUUAGGUAGUUGGCGGGGUAACGGCCCACCAAGCCAGCGAUCAGUAACUGGUGUGAGAGCACGACCAGUCACACGGGCACUGAGACACGGGCCCGACUCCUACGGGAGGCAGCAGUAAGGAAUAUUGGUCAAUGGACGCAAGUCUGAACCAGCCAUGCCGCGUGGAGGAUGAAGGUCCUCUGGAUUGUAAACUUCUUUUAUAUGGGACGAAAAAAGGGUUUUCUAACUCGUCUGACAGUACCAUAUGAAUAAGCACCGGCUAACUCCGUGCCAGCAGCCGCGGUAAUACGGAGGGUGCAAGCGUUAUCCGGAUUCACUGGGUUUAAAGGGUGCGUAGGUGGGUUGGUAAGUCAGUGGUGAAAUCCCCGAGCUUAACUUGGGAACUGCCAUUGAUACUAUCAGUCUUAAAUACCGUGGAGGUUAGCGGAAUAUGUCAUGUAGCGGUGAAAUGCUUAGAUAUGACAUAGAACACCAAUUGCGAAGGCAGCUGGCUACACGAAUAUUGACACUGAGGCACGAAAGCGUGGGGAUCAAACAGGAUUAGAUAC
rnacentral:rRNA from 1 species